UUCUUUGACUUACUAUAAAUUUCUCUCCUCUCUUUCUCUCUCUCUAUUUCCUUCUUUUCUUAACCCUUCCAUUCAAUCAGAGGCUCUUUUUCAUCCUAACACAGAGCUUGCAAUUUUUUUUUAACUAUGGAACGACCAAGUGCAUCCCAGAGGGUGAAAAAAAGAGCAUUGGAGGAUGAUGAUGGUAUUGUAGGGAGGAAAUAUAAAUUUAAAGUUCAAGCCAAAUAGGAUGGGUCCAGUGAGAUUUCCAACACUUUUGAGG